rnacentral:lncRNA from 1 species
GUGCUUGAACAGAUGUUUUCACUUGGGAAGGGAGAUGCAGGUUCGAUGUAAAUAGCUGAACCUUUUGAAGCAUAAUUUAGAACAAAAAAUUGAUUGAACUGAUUCAAAGAGAGUAGAAUCCUCUGAACAUCAAGACUUGCUGUAUACCUACUAGAAUGGCAGUGAUCACGGCAGACAACGUUGAAGCCAUACAUGUCAAGCAUUGAAAGUUUAGCAUGUAAAUAAUCAACUAAUUAGCUAGAAUAUAUUAUCAGAUUUAGAGCUAUAUCCUUGCAUAAUCUGUAUACUAAAGUGUUUAUACUACCAUAAGUUGGGUCUGAACUUAAAAAGAAGGGAAGAUGUUUAUAAUCAACUAAGACUACAGGCAUAUAGUAUGCAAACACGGUAGAUCAUACAUCAUAAAUCAGAUAUUGGCAGCCGCUCCUCGGUAUAAGAGACUCGUGCAACACACUGUAUUCAAGCCUGCUCAAUACUCUGUCUCUUAUGUGAAAAUGCAACUAAAUAUGUGAUUUUUGUGCAUUCGAUGACUGUUUGCCUGCGAAUGCAGCACAUAAUGUAUAUGAGGAUUUGAUGACACGUUUUCAAUUAACAAAUCAUUCUCGAACCUAUGCUUGCAAUAAUCACCUAGCUUACAUACUUCAGAAACUAAUGCUGUUCCAACUAUUGCUCUCAUCCACUUUCAAUCUCACAGUCUGGAAUAUUUGCUACCCCUUCCAUGAAUGCGUAUGUUGGCAGUACAUAAAAAUACAUAUAUGAUAUAUGUAUGUAUGUAUAUGAAGUCCAUGAGAAGACGAAUGGCAAGCACGAAUAAGUUCCAUCAUAGAUGCAAAGACCAAAAUUCUACAUUGGAUCGGAGGCAGUUGGGCUGAAGAUAAACAUUAUGUAGGCAUUGAAAGGUUCGUGAAUGCCCUGAGAGACAUGAAUGGAUGAAAAAACAAUGACAUUUUGGAAGGGUUAAAUAUAGAAAAGAAAGCAUAGUAGGCACACCUGUCCAAACUGGCUUCUAAGUAUGCAUCUUCAACAAGUUUUAGCAAAAAGUGAGGAGCCCAUGUUCUUGUGGAUGUUCAUCCAUGGAUUGUCACUCCAGAAGUUUGGUGCAAUCAAGUGGGAGAGGCAGAAAAGAAAGAGGCAUUGAGGGAUUUCUCUUCUAUCAUGCUACUGAUAAUCUAGUGGGGCAAGGGGGUUUGACAAAAGCAAGGACUUAGAGAGCAUUGGUCAAAAAUUAGCCUUGGAUUGGUUGAUUAGUUGCAAGUUGACUCUAGUUCAACAAAAUACCACUACUCA